AAAAAGGAAAAAGAAUAAAAAAGGACAUAAAAAAGCGUGAUUAUUUCAUAAUUUCAUCUGAUUUAGAGGUUGACUCCUUUUAUGUCUAAGUUCAUAAAACAAUAAAUGUAAUUUAGAAUGCAAGUCACUAACAACGUCUCUAUUGCAGUCAAAAUGGUUUGGUGAUUUAUCAUAUCGCUAAGCUAAAAGCAAAGCUGGAAACAAUAUCACGGGCUCUUCAAUAUAAAAUUACCAAUCAACAGGACACAAAGCAAGAAUUAGAUAGUGAAGAGCAUGAAGAGCAACUUGGAGGGUCUGAAGUUUUGAUUGCUAAAACUUCACAUGUUGAAAUCCAAGAUA
rnacentral:misc_RNA from 1 species